UACGUAGGGUGCAAGCGUUGUUCGGAAUUACUGGGUGUAAAGGGAGAGUAGGCGGAUCGGUAAGUUAGAAGUGAAAAGCCCAGGCUUAACCUGGGACCUGCUUUUAAUACUGCCAGUCUUGAGUAUGGGAGAGGAAGAUGGAAUUCCAGGUGUAGCGGUGGAAUGCGUAGAUAUCUGGAAGAACACCAGUUGCGUAGGCGGUCUUCUGGCCCAAUACUGACGCUGAGGCUCGAAAGCUAGGGGAG
rnacentral:rRNA from 1 species